rnacentral:rRNA from 1 species
AGGACGAACGCUGGCGGCGUGCUUAACACAUGCAAGUCGAGCGGAAAGGCCCUUCGGGGUACUCGAGCGGCGAACGGGUGAGUAACACGUGAGUAAUCUGCCCCUAGCUCUGGGAUAGCUCCGGGAAAACCGGGAUUAAUACCAGAUACGACCACUUUAGACAUCUUCUGUGGUGGAAAGAACUUCGGCUAGGGAUGAACUCGCGGCCUAUCAGCUUGUUGGUGAGGUAACGGCUCACCAAGGCGACGACGGGUAGCCGGCCUGAGAGGGCGACCGGCCACACUGGGACUGAGACACGGCCCAGACUCCUACGGGAGGCAGCAGUGGGGAAUAUUGCGCAAUGGGCGAAAGCCUGACGCAGCGACGCCGCGUGGGGGAUGAAGGCCUUCGGGUUGUAACCCCUUUCAGCAGGACGAAGCGAAGUGACGGUACCUGCAGAAGAAGCGCCGGCUAACUACGUGCCAGCAGCGC